CGGGGUGUGGCGCAGUUGGCUAGCGCAUCUGGUUUGGGACCAGAGGGUCGCAGGUUCGAGUCCUGUUACCCCGACAA
rnacentral:tRNA from 1 species